rnacentral:rRNA from 1 species
CCUACGGGAGGCAGCAGUGAGGAAUAUUGGUCAAUGGGCUUACGCCUGAACCAGCCAAGUCGCGUGAGGGAAGACUGCCCUAUGGGUUGUAAACCUCUUUUGUCAGGGAGCAACGCCGGCUACGUGUAGCCGGACUGAGAGUACCUGAAGAAAAAGCAUCGGCUAACUCCGUGCCAGCAGCCGCGGUAAUACGGAGGAUGCGAGCGUUAUCCGGAUUGAUUGGGUUUAAAGGGGGCGUAGGCGGAAUGCCAAGUCAGCGGUAAAAUCGCGGGGCUCAACCUCGCUCCGCCGUUGAAACUGGCGUUCUUGAGUGGGCGAGAAGUAUGCGGAAUGCGUGGUGUAGCGGUGAAAUGCAUAGAUAUCACGCAGAACUCCGAUUGCGAAGGCAGCAUACCGGCGCCCAACUGACGCUGAAGCACGAAAGCGUGGGUAUCGAACAGGAUUAGAUACCCUAGUAGUC